rnacentral:rRNA from 1 species
UACGGGGGGGGCAAGCGUUGUUCGGAAUUACUGGGCGUAAAGGGCUCGUAGGCGGCCAACUAAGUCAGACGUGAAAUCCCUCGGCUUAACCGGGGAACUGCGUCUGAUACUGGAUGGCUAGAGGUUGGGAGAGGGAUGCGGAAUUCCAGGUGUAGCGGUGAAAUGCGUAGAUAUCUGGAGGAACACCGGUGGCGAAGGCGGCAUUCUGGACCAGUAUGUACGCUGAGGAGCGAAAGCCAGGGGAGCCAAACGGGAU